AAAAUGGAUUGAUUAAUAUGUCAUCCUUCACUUUUUUCCCCAAACAGCUCUAUUGUAAAAAUCAUCUUUUCCCCCUUAUCCGUGCUAGAUUACGGAGACAUAAUCUAUAGAUCGACAGGUAAGGGUGCUCUCAAGCGGCUAGAUGUUCUUUACCAUUCGGAAAUCAGAUUUGCCACCAAUACUCCUUAAAGGACACAUCAGUUCACUCCUCUGUAAACUGGUCAUCUCUGUAUACCCGUCGCAAGACCCACUGGUUGAUGCUCAUUUAUAAAACCCUCUUAGGCCUCACUCCCCCCUAUCUGAGAUAUCUACUCUAGCCCUCAUCCUCCACUUACAACACCUGUUCUGCCAGUCACAUUCUGUUAAAGGUCCAAAAAGCACACACAUCCUUGGGUCGCUUGUCUUUCCAGUUCACUGCAGCAAGCGACUGGAACGAGCUGAAACAAAAGGAUAUGUUCAGAGGUAUAUGGUGUGAGGAGAGGAAGGAUAGAGGUAUAUGGUGAGAGGAGAGGAAGGAUAGAGGUAUAUGGUGUGAGGAGAGGAAGGAUAGAGGUAUAUGGUGAGAGGAGAGGAAGGAUAGAGGUAUAUGGUGAGAGGAGAGGAAGGAUAGAGGUAUAUGGUGUGGGGAGAGGAAGGAUAGAGGUAUAUGGUGAGAGGAGAGGAAGGAUAGAGGUAUAUGGUGAGAGGAGAGGAAGGAUAGAGGUAUAUGGUGUGAGGAGAGGAAGGAUAGAGGUAUAUGGUGUGAGGAGAGGAAGGAUAGAGGUAUAUGGUGUGAGGAGAGGAAGGAUAGAGGUAUAUGGUGAGAGGAGAGGAAGGAUAGAGGUAUAUGGUGUGAGGAGAGGAAGGAUAGAGGUAUAUGGUGUGAGGAGAGGAAGGAUAGAGGUAUAUGGUGUGAGGAGAGGAAGGAUAGAGGUAUAUGGUGUGGGGAGAGGAAGGAUAGAGGUAUAUGGUGAGAGGAGAGGAAGGAUAGAGGUAUAUGGUGUGAGGAGAGGAAGGAUAGAGGUAUAUGGUGAGAGGAGAGGAAGGAUAGAGGUAUAUGGUGAGAGGAGAGGAAGGAUAGAGGUAUAUGGUGUGAGGAGAGGAAGGAUAGAGGUAUAUGGUGUGAGGAGAGGAAGGAUAGAGGUAUAUGGUGUGAGGAGAGGAAGGAUAGAGGUAUAUGGUGAGAGGAGAGGAAGGAUAGAGGUAUAUGGUGUGGGGAGAGGAAGGAUAGAGGUAUAUGGUGUGAGGAGAGGAAGGAUAGAGGUAUAUGGUGUGGGGAGAGGAAGGAUAGAGGUAUAUGGUGAGAGGAGAGGAAGGAUAGAGGUAUAUGGUGAGAGGAGAGGAAGGAUAGAGGUAUAUGGUGUGGGGAGAGGAAGGAUAGAGGUAUAUGGUGAGAGGAGAGGAAGGAUAGAGGUAUAUGGUGAGAGGAGAGGAAGGAUAGAGGUAUAUGGUGUGGGGAGAGGAAGGAUAGAGGUAUAUGGUGAGAGGAGAGGAAGGAUAGAGGUAUAUGGUGUGAGGAGAGGAAGGAUAGAGGUAUAUGGUGUGAGGAGAGGAAGGAUAGAGGUAUAUGGUGUGGGGAGAGGAAGGAUAGAGGUAUAUGGUGAGAGGAGAGGAGAGGAAGGAUAGAGGUAUAUGGUGUGAGGAGAGGAAGGAUAGAGGUAUAUGGUGUGAGGAGAGGAAGGAUAGAGGUAUAUGGUGUGAGGAGAGGAAGGAUAGAGGUAUAUGGUGUGAGGAGAGGAAGGAUAGAGGUAUAUGGUGUGGGGAGAGGAAGGAUAGAGGUAUAUGGUGUGAGGAGAGGAAGGAUAGAGGUAUAUGGUGAGAGGAGAGGAGAGGAAGGAUAGAGGUAUAUGGUGUGGGGAGAGGAAGGAUAGAGGUAUAUGGUGUGAGGAGAGGAGAGGAAGGAUAGAGGUAUAUGGUGUGAGGAGAGGAGAGGAAGGAUAGAGGUAUAUGGUGUGAGGAGAGGAAGGAUAGAGGUAUAUGGUGAGAGGAGAGGAAGGAUAGAGGUAUAUGGUGUGAGGAGAGGAGAGGAAGGAUAGAGGUAUAUGGUGUGAGGAGAGGAGAGGAAGGAUAGAGGUAUAUGGUGAGAGGAGAGGAGAGGAAGGAUAGAGGUAUAUGGUGUGGGGAGAGGAAGGAUAGAGGUAUAUGGUGUGGGGAGAGGGUAGGAUAUGUUCAGAGGUAUAUGGUGUGAGGAGAGGGUAGGAUAUGUUCAGAGGUAUAUGGUGUGGGGAGAGGGUAGGAUAUGUUCAGAGGUAUAUGGUGUGGGGAGAGGGUAGGAUAGAGGUAUAUGGUGUGGGGAGAGGGUAGGAUAUGUUCAGAGGUAUAUGGUGUGAGGAGAGGGUAGGAUAUGUUCAGAGGUAUAUGGUGUGGGGAGAGGGUAGGAUAGAGGUAUAUGGUGUGGGGAGAGGGUAGGAUAUGUUCAGAGGUAUAUGGUGUGAGGAGAGGGUAGGAUAUGUUCAGAGGUAUAUGGUGUGGGGAGAGGGUAGGAUAGAGGUAUAUGGUGUGGGGAGAGGGUAGGAUAUGUUCAGAGGUAUAUGGUGUGAGGAGAGGGUAGGAUAGAGGUAUAUGGUGUGGGGAGAGGGUAGGAUAUGUUCAGAGGUAUAUGGUGUGAGGAGAGGGUAGGAUAUGUUCAGAGGUAUAUGGUGUGGGGAGAGGGUAGGAUAGAGGUAUAUGGUGUGGGGAGAGGGUAGGAUAUGUUCAGAGGUAUAUGGUGUGGGGAGAGGGUAGGAUAUGUUCAGAGGUAUAUGGUGUGAGGAGAGGGUAGGAUAUGUUCAGAGGUAUAUGGUGUGGGGAGAGGGUAGGAUAUGUUCAGAGGUAUAUGGUGUGAGGAGAGGGUAGGAUAGAGGUAUAUGGUGAGAGGAGAGGAGAGGAAGGAUAGAGGUAUAUGGUGUGGGGAGAGGGUAGGAUAUGUCCAGAGGUAUAUGGUGUGGGGAGAGGGUAGGAUAUGUUC